GUCCACGUAUCGAACAUAUCAAGAAAGCAAAAUUUCAUAGCGAAGAUAAGUAACGGGGCGACGUAUUGAGAUGGGACGCCUCGAAUCCGUUUGCGAGAGCGUUUCACAAGGUGUUUGCUCGCUCGGCGACGGUUGGGUAUACGACAAAUAGCAGCGCGACUCAAUUAUUCGAGGAAGAAGGUGACACGACAGAAGCUUGAGGAAUGCCAGUCGAAGCGGGGAAGCGAGGAACUUCAAACGUGUGUGCGCAUAUGUACCAACGAUAUCCUCGUGAAUUCGAUUCGAGGCACGCGUAUUGACUGGCUGAUAUUGCAAAAUCGCUGCACGUUACUUAUUAGCAUAAACUCUUUGUUGCCUAUGACGCCGAUUUACCGGACGCAUCUUCUCGUCCCUCGUUACGCAUCGAUUACAUUAUGUUAUCGUUCGAUUUUCCCAGGAAGAUUUAUCGACUAUUCGUGCUCGAAUAUUCGAUGUAAAACUACACUAAAAAUUUCAAUUCAUGAUCAGAAACAUUCGAAGACAAUGGGAUUAACUAGCGGAACAUUGCAUCCUGGAGAGUAGCAAUGGACAAGUAGCGCGUUCGCAAGUUGAUGCAGUUGCACGACCUAAAUUUCCUGUUCGUUAAAUAUUUCACGUUGCAGUGGUGACCGUGUAUAUACGAAAGGCGAUAGUCGAUGAAAAGCAGAUCCGCUUUUCUUGGCGUUAACGUGCCAACGAUCCACCUUGUUUGUCGAUAGCGUUGCUCUACCGUGAUCAGGUGAACCGUGAACAGAAUCACUUACAGGAGAGGCAAAGAAGCCAAAAGCGAAACGGUGGAUGAAAAAGUGCGAGCGCCGGGAAAGGAAAAGCGAGCAUACGUGCGGAGUAACGUCAAAGACGCGAGAAGGGGAGUGACGAGUGGCGAGCAGCAUGAUGGGAUGAAAAAGCCGAAAGGCAGGAACGAAACGGGGAAGGAUCCCGGCGGACAGUGGUGCGAGCUAUCGGGUAACAUUCGUCAUGGUGAGUGCGGAGACGUCGACCUCGCAGAUACGCCGAUCAGACUAGUCCGCAGUCCUUCUCUCGUAUAACGACAGAAACCAGCAACCAGCAACCGUCAACCGUCAACCGUCAACUAACCAGCAACGCGUCAACACACUGGAACAUCUUCCUAACCCUUGGAAACGACUUUCGAAGGAUUAACAUUCUCCUGACCAUUCCAGUAUAGAUUUUCCAGAAGCAUAGUUCACAGACAAUUUCGCCAACAACCCAACUAGAUUUAUUGAUGUACGAAGUAAAGAUAUGGGAGAUUUUGGAGGGACAUGGAAUGGUUAUGGAAGGAAACAGCUGAAUUAUGCUACGUAAUCGUGCUACAUUGUCUCGUACGUAGAACAGAAUGAAUCACGUUAUCGACAAAGGGAAAGUGUUAUUAGUCGAUUAUUACAUGGAAGCAUUGAGUGAAAAUGGUAAUGGUAAAUGGUAGAGAAUGUGAAAAUGUCUGAUAAUCAACUUUGGCGGUCAACUCAAAAAUAAGCUGUUUAACUUAUUCGAAUGCUCGUAUCGCAUUUUACGAACAAAAUGCUCGUAUAAUAUUUAAUUGCUCUGCUGAAAUAAAAAAAUAUUAACUUAUCGGUGUAGUUUUGAGAUAAUCAAAUAAAAAAUUUUAAUUUUGAGAUUAUAUUUAUAAGGCUUGAUUUAAUUGUAUAUUACUCAAACACUUGGUGUUUAGAGUGAAAUUAUGACAAUGUUUAAUAACAAUUUAGGUUAUUCUCUAUAAUUGUAACCCUGUACUGUAUUACUAUAAUUGUAAAAGUAAUAUGCAUGUUAUACAAUGUAUAGGACGAUGAAAACAGGUUACGUUACAGGCUGAUAAACUACGCACUAUUGGAAAUCUAUAAUGCACCGUCCUGUACGCGCGAAAGCAUGUCGAAGCAUUGUUGUAAUAAAAAUAAUAUGAAUUACGAUCAGUACUUCUUGCAAACAAUUUGUACACGGUUACAAAUGAAAUAAAGGUUCAAUAAAACAAUAUAUCACGUAAGAACAUGUAAACAGAA